rnacentral:rRNA from 1 species
AACGAACGCUGGCGGCAGGCCUAACACAUGCAAGUCGAACGCCCCGCAAGGGGAGUGGCAGACGGGUGAGUAACGCGUGGGAAACCUACCUAGUGGUACGGAACAACUCGGGGAAACUUGAGCUAAUACCGUAUACGCCCUCAGGGGGAAAGAUUUAUCGCCAUUAGAUGGGCCCGCGUCGGAUUAGCUUGUUGGUGAGGUAAUGGCUCACCAAGGCGACGAUCCGUAGCUGGUCUGAGAGGAUGAUCAGCCACACUGGGACUGAGACACGGCCCAGACUCCUACGGGAGGCAGCAGUGAGGAAUAUUGGACAAUGGGCGCAAGCCUGAUCCAGCCAUGCCGCGUGAGUGAAGAAGGCCUUAGGGUUGUAAAGCUCUUUCGACGGGGAAGAUAAUGACGGUACCCGUAGAAGAAGCCCCGGCUAACUUCGUGCCAGCCGCCGCAGUAA